UUUUAGUUUUAGUUUUUUAUUUUCCAGUUUUUUAUUUUAGUUUUAUUUUAUUUUCACCGACGCCGUUCUUUCUUCGGGAACCCCUGGACCUGCGGGAGCUGGACUCCGGCAGUCACCUCCCUUGGUUGUGAAAGUGGUAGUGUGCUCGGGCCCUGCAUCAUGAACAUGACACUGGAUGAAAGCGCUCCUGCCCUGGGCUCCUCAUCCACAGCCUCCUCAGCAACAGCCUCAUCCUAUCUUUUCUGAAUCCCAUGAGUGUCCCCUCAGUCUCCUUGUCCUCCAGCUGCGAUGUCCUGCGGGCACAGCCAGCAGCAGUGCCGGCCCCCUCCCAAGUACCCCCCCCCCCACCGCCAAGAUCUCAGCACAGUGCUCACCCCAGCCCCCCACCCGAGCUGUGCUCCAGUCUCUGGGGGCGGCUGUGGCCCCAGCUCCGGGGCGGCUGCUGCCUGGACCACCGUAGGCGCCAUGGAUGCCGGCGCCACAGCUCCGACUCAUGUGACGGUGGUGGUGGGCUGCAGUCUGGGCAGCCAUGCUGGCUCCGGGUGUGGCCAUGGCUCUGGGAGCGGCUGCUGACCUAGGAUCCUGAAGCCGAGACAAGCGCUCCGAGAGGAAGAAUCCAAGGACCGUCUCAGCCCAGUGUGUUCUCUCCAGAUACCCCAGUCUCCGAGCGCUUGGCCAGUGGAGAUGUCCAGGUAGCCUCUAAACUUCCCGGGGUGGCUCCUCCUAUCUGUUCUCCAGGACCAGCCUGAAGGCCCACCCACCUCUUGUCUUCUAGGACUUGCAGUAUCCGCCCCAUCAAUUGUCAUCACCCAGGUCUGGACCUAUGGAAAAAUAAAGUUUUAAUUCCUCAGCA